GUAGUGAGUUUCAUCAUAUUUUAAGAAUCAUGACUGAUAAAUAACUUAAUCGUGACAUUUUGUCUGUACCUUUUGUAUAAAACUGAUACAAUUUUGAGAUUUUUACUAGAAAUAGUUUUAAGAUAGUUACCUAUUUUAAAGAUAAACAUGUGGAGAGAGUUACUUUUGCUUUCAAUAAUGAUUUCUGUGGUAUAUUCGCAAGCGUGCGGAGAUAUAUGUGAUGAUUACAGAUGUGAAGAUUUAAAAUGUAAGCCAGGGCAAGUUGUCAAGAAAAAAGGUGGCUUCUGUGGUUGCUGUGAUAUUUGUUAUACUGAAUUGAAAAAAGGGGAUAGAUGCUCAAUACCAAUUACCAUAGGAGGUCCCCCUCCAACAGCUGGUUGUGCUCGCGGCUUAAAAUGUGAUCCAAAGACUAAGAAAUGUGCUUAAAAAGCCUUAAAAGGAAAAACGCGACUUUUGAAUUUGCACUUUUUUCUUUUAACUUAUCUAUUUAAAUAGGGAAUUGUAUUACUUUUCUAAUAAAACAUAUGUUUGUUC